UAGGGAAUCUUCGGCAAUGGGGGGAACCCUGACCGAGCAACGCCGCGUGAGUGAAGAAGGUUUUCGGAUCGUAAAGCUCUGUUGUUAAGGAAGAACGAGUGUGAGAAUGGAAAGUUCAUGCUGUGACGGUACUUAACCAGAAAGGGACGGCUAACUACGUGCCAGCAGCCGCGGUAAUACGUAGGUCCCGAGCGUUGUCCGGAUUUAUUGGGCGUAAAGCGAGCGCAGGCGGUUAGAUAGUCUGAAGUUAAAGGCAGUGGCUCAACCAUUGUAGGCUUUGGAAACUGUUUAACUUGAGUGCAGAAGGGGAGAGUGGAAUUCCAUGUGUAACGGUGAAAUGCGUAGAUAUAUGGAGGAACACCGGUGGCGAAAGCGGCUCUCUGGUCUGUAACUGACGCUGAGGCUCGAAAGCGUGGGGAGCGAACAGG
rnacentral:rRNA from 1 species